rnacentral:rRNA from 1 species
GGAGCAUGUGGUUUAAUUCGAUGAUACGCGAGGAACCUUACCAGGGCUUAAAUGUAGUAUGACAGGACUAGAGAUAGUUUUUUCUUCGGACAUAUUACAAGGUGCUGCAUGGUUGUCGUCAGCUCGUGCCGUGAGGUGUCAGGUUAAGUCCUAUAACGAGCGCAACCCCUACCGUUAGUUGCCAGCAUGUAAAGAUGGGGACUCUAACGGGACUGCCGGUGCAAACCGUGAGGAAGGUGGGGACGACGUCAAAUCAUCACGGCCCUUACGUCCUGGGCCACACACGUGCUACAAUGGCCGGUACAGAGGGAAGCCACCCCGUAAGGGGGCGCGGAUCUAUAAAACCGGUCACAGUUCGGAUCGGGGUCUGCAACUCGACCCCGUGAAGCUGGAAUCGCUAGUAAUCGGAUAUCAGCCAUGAUCCGGUGAAUACGUUCCCGGGCCUUG